ACAUGUGCGCAACAGCUGUUCGACCCCACCCCACCGAUCAAUGACUCCGCAUCAGAACUAGCUGCGGCAAUAGCUGGUAUACCUGGGGUUGUCGCUUUCAAGACUCCUAUGAGACCUGCUGGUGUUAAAAUAUUGACACAUCCUGUUGCAUACAGUCAGGACAUCUGUGCACAGCUAUCAGAGGCUUUAAAGACCCCUUUGAGACAUGCUGGUGUUAAAAUAUUGACACAUCCAGUGGCAUACAGUCAGGACAACUGCACACAGC